GGAGAAGUGUCUCAGUGGUUAGAGUGCAUGCUUUCAAUGAGUGAAGCCCUAGGUUUGAUCCCCAGCUUUUGUA
rnacentral:tRNA from 1 species